rnacentral:rRNA from 1 species
UACCCGCAGCACAAGUGGUGGUCAUUAUUAUUGGGCCUAAAGCGUCUGUAGCUGGCCUGUUAGAUGCCUGGGUAAAUCGAUGCGCUCAACGCAUCGAACUCCGGGUAGACCGGCAGGCUUGGGACCGGGAGAGGCGUGAGCUACUCGAGGGGUAGGGGUAAAAUCCUGUAAUCCUUCGGGGAGGACCAGUGGCGAAGGCGUCACGCUAGAACGGCUCCGACAGUGAGGGACGAAGCCCUGGGGCGCAAACCGG